rnacentral:rRNA from 1 species
AGUGAACGCUGGCGGUAGGCCUAACACAUGCAAGUCGAACGGCAGCACAGGAGAGCUUGCUCUCUGGGUGGCGAGUGGCGGACGGGUGAGGAAUACAUCGGAAUCUACUCUGUCGGGGGGGAUAACGUAGGGAAACUUACGCUAAUACCGCAUACGACCUACGGGCGAAAGAAGGGGAACUUCGGGCCGUGCGUGAUUUCAUGAACCGAUGUCGGAUUAGCUAGUUGGCGGGGUAAAGGCCCACCAAGGCGACGAUCCGUAGCUGGUCUGAGAGGAUGAUCAGCCACACUGGAACUGAGACACGGUCCAGACUCCUACGGGAGGCAGCAGUGGGGAAUAUUGGACAAUGGGCGCAAGCCUGAUCCAGCCAUACCGCGUGGGUGAAGAAGGCCUUCGGGUUGUAAAGCCCUUUUGUUGGGAAAGAAAUCCAGCUGGCUAAUACCCGGUUGGGAUGACGGUACCCAAAGAAUAAGCACCGGCUAACUUCGUGCCAGCCGCCGCCGUAA